ACCAGAUUAAUAUUUAAGUGAACACAUUAAUUUCACAAAUCAUUUUAUAAGAAGAAAUCUCAAAUUUACUUGUAACUAUCAUUGCAAAUUAAGAGAGAAAAACUAAGAGCUACAGUCAUUCUCAAAUUGUUCGCACCAUAAGUCAUAACCAUCGGCAAUGACUGUCUAGUGUAUAGGCUUUUGCGUCUGUCCGCGGGCUCUAACGAAAAUAAUCUAUUAACUUGUUGCAGUUUGAUAAGAGAUAGAUUACUUCAAAAUUUUUAAAAAAAAAUACAUAAAUAAACCAUUAUACUCGUACAGUUACAGACUAACUGAGGUGCAUAAAAAUUAGUUGAUAAAAAUAAAAUAAAAAUUAAACAAAUAAUGUAGAGGGAAAACAUAUUAAAUAUGCCCCGUAUGAUGGCCACCUUGAUUCACUAAAUCAAUAACAAUCAAAAGAGUUAGUUAUAUUAUAAUGAGACACCAAUUACUGUCAAAAAAAAAAAAAAAAAAAAAACUAAUCGCCAAGCAACAUCCCAACUCAGAAAUACAACAAAAAGUUGCAUCUUUAAUAGAGAAGUAGAUAUAUGAAAUAUUUUUAUAUCUCUCCCCUUACAAGAAUUUUCCAAAUGAUACAAAGCCAAAAGUCCAAAAGCAUAUAUCCAGAACUGACACAAACAAAUACAACUAUACCGUCGUCCAAAAAUGAGGGGAGGAGCAAAAAGCAAAAGCAAAAACAAAAACAAAAUAAUGAAUAGAAGAAUAUGAUAAAUGGAAUUCAAAUACACUUUGAAUUCAUAGUUCUGACAAGGGGCAAGCCGUAAAAUCCUGACUUUCAGCUCAGGAACUAUAGUCCUAUUUACACAAAGCACCCUCUUUUGAAGAUUCUAAAGAAGUGAUUAACCAACUACUGGAAUCAUGAGUGGUUAAGCAGGCCUUCACUCACUAAAAAUAUGCAGAGAAAAUAUGAAUUGUCAACCAAAAUCUGUAAGCCACCUAAAAGUACUUGGAGCCUGACUGUGUUGGUGGCGGAGGCGGCGGCACCCGAUUAGGAGUACGACGACUGCCCGAGUUUGAACCAGAUCUCACAUCACCAUUCUCAGCUGGAUCACUGUAACGCCGGCUGUGACCAUUGGAUGCAGACCGAGAGUAGCUGCGAAGGCUUACAGGUCCAUUGGCAGCAGCAUCAAAUGCGGAUCUCCAGUCAUCACCUGAUGCGGCACUUGUUCUAGGGCUGCUUUCUGCAUAUUACAUAACCCAAUACUUCCAUCAUCAAAAUGUUUCAAAUAGAGAUUUAACAAAGUAACAUUUUAAAAUCAAAAUGACGGUCUUAUAAAAAAAAACAUUUUUAAUUAAAUGGUACAAAUAAAUAAAAAUUUUAAAAUCCAAUGGUACAAACAAAUCAAUCUAACAAUCUUUUGUCAGAAAGUAGCUCAAUAGUAAGACAGUUCAAGCAAUUAAUAGGUUUGGUUAGCAUUUCUUGAGUGUCACCUGAGAAACCUUUCCAAUAAUCAAACAGUAGAUUAAUUCAAGUUCAGAACAAAAUUUUUAAUUCCAAAAUCAGCAAACAAUUAGGUUAAGAAAAGAUCCACUGUCAUUAGACUAUAGAUAUUUACUCAAAAGUUCAAUGUUAUAAUUUUUUAAACAGACAAAAGGGAAAUGUUAAAUUGAACAAUUUUUUCCACUUGGUAUAUGAACAAAAGACCACGUACCUGCACCACCACCGUCCGACCAGUUAGAGGCAGCAGCCGCUCGGUUGUCAUGAAUGCUAAGUUGGCGGGUUAGUUUAGACAGGAGUUCAGACUGUUUCUGAUAGCGAUCCCUCCUACGCUUCACAUUCUGGUCCUCCUGAAGCAGCUCUUCAAUCCUUGCCGUGCUUUGUGCACUACCCAAGGUAAAAUACAAAUUAUGUUAGCAUCAAUCAGCUUUCUAAACAAAAUUUCAAUAAUGUUACCAUAUAUUGAAUCCAUGCACAAUUACUACAAACAAAAUUAUCAUUAAUUGAUAAGAGAGAAAUAAGAAAGCCAUCAACCUGACGGAGCUAUAUAACUGAUUCAACAUGUCUUCCUUCGCUUUCUCGACUUGGCAAAGUACAACUGCCUGCUCAACCAUUGACAAAAAUAUCAGAUCUAUUAAGUAACCAACUGAAAAUAUUAAAUUGGCAAAGUUAAGGAAUGAGCUUACUUUGGGCACAUUAGCAGCUAAACUAUUCAAAACUGCUUCAACGUAACCUCGUACUUCUUGAGACAUCCAUCGAAGUUCUUCCUCAGGGUCAGCAGGUCUUCGAGCCAUUGUAUCCUAGAAAAACCACCAAGAAAAGAAAUUAACACUCGAUCACAAUUUCUAUGCAUAUGCAAAAGGAACAACAUCCUUCACAGGUACGUAGCUCUUUACUUCAAAAUUUGUAUUGCAAAGUUAAGAGAGUUUAAACUCACAAGAGAACCAUCAGAAAGACUCUGACGCAUCGUAUGACCACUUUCAGCAACUCUAACAAGUCCUCCCCUAGCUUGAAUAACUUUGCUUAUCUUGUUUAUCCAUUCCGCCUUAUCAGCGGUGCUCUCAGCUUUCAAAACAACAGCAUUGUGGGCUGCAAGAUAAAGGCAGAUCAAUUUGAAAAAAUGAAUAAAAAAAGAAAAUUUACCGCCAGAGGAACUCCAUGAUUUAAACAUAAAGAAUACCUUUCAGAACAGUUUUAUAAGGAAUUUUGCUAGUAAUCUUAAAUACAAGACUUGGUGCUUUCCCAGAAUCAGGUCCAUUAGCCUUUUUAUCCUUCGAACUUUUUGCUGGAGGUUCCUCCUCCUCCGGAAUCUCCUCAAUAUUACAUUCCUGCGCCAGCAAAUGUACAUAGAUUAUUGCGAAGUAAGAUGAAAAACAGCUCAAAACAGAAGCUACUUGGUAAAAUAUUGAAAGUAACAUCCAAAGGAAUGAACACUGGGUAGCAUGUAUCCGAAGAAAACUAAGAAAAAGCUUAAAAAAUUUUACUAGCAGUUUGUAAAACUAAGAAAAAGCUUAAAAUAUUUUACUUGAAGUUCGUUAGUAUGUGAGGCAACUGUUAACUUGUUAAAUUUAUUAUUGGCCAUCUUUAUCCAUUUUAACUUAGAAAGUGUUCCUAUUGCAGUAAUAAGGCAAACUUCAUUGAUAAAGGUUAUUUAUAGGCCUAUUCAUAUACAACUUACUCCUGCCCAGCCAGUAAGAUGGCAAUAAACUACAAAAUGGUGAAAAAAGGUUGUGACAAUAGAAUAAAUAAUAUAAUACCAAAACUGAAACAGAGUAGUAAUUCUCCAUACCUCCAAAGCAAUGACACCACGAAAAUGCCUUUCCUCUUGCUUUUUGGUGUAGCCCAGCUGUCAAACAAAGGAUGAUUGAGAUUAAAUCAUGCCUAUCAUAACAGUGUCCUAUAUUUCUUUAAUGCAAAAACAUAAAAAAUAAGAGAAUGGAGGCUAGAAUGUAACUCAUUUUAAAAAUUUUAUAAUGCUAAAAUCAUUUAACAAAGGUUAGAUACCAUGCCCAAAAGCACCUAAAACAUCUGAAUAGCAUUACUACUCCAUGUCUAAAAAAUGUAAGCGUAUGGGACAAAAUGUUAAUUACAAACCUUUCCAGUCUUCUCAUUCAGAACAAACCAUCGCUUGCUCCAUCCAUUAGUUUUUGCACUUUUCUUCAACAAGAAACCUGGACAACAAAAAAUAGUCACAAACUUCUAAAUAUAAAUUUGUGAAAAAAAAAUCAUUUAAGCAAUUAAGUAAUUUCAUCUAGAGGGGGAUUAACAUGCCUUUAUCCAUAAACUGCUGGGAUAUGAAGCAUGCAUGCAAGGAUUUCAAAGGCAUUCCACAAAUACUAAUGAGAUAUACCAAAAUUAUUAAAUAGCUAAUUAUCUGCUACAACAGUAUAUAGUAUUGGGCAGCAGUUGCAAGUUUCCUGGUUUUCAACUUGUAUGCAGGCACUUUAUGGCUUGAUGAAAAAGUAAUGAAGGUUUAAGACAAUGUCAAGAUACACAUCCAGGACCAACCCUACUUAAUACUACUUUAGCAAUCAGAGACUUGUCCCACAAAUUGGAAUCUACAAUUUUCCAUCCAGGCAAUAUAUGAUGUAUUUUAUCUACUCUUAACUUUGCUCAUACUGAAUUCAGGCAUCUAUUCCUCCAAAUGCAGUCCAAGGAACAAAAUGAACAAGCCAAUGCAGCAUAAGCUAGAAGACCAUGACACAGCCAAGAAAGAGUUUGAUGUUCAAAACUUCAUCCACCCCCAUGAAUCUCGGCUUAUUUCAACACAAGCAACAGCAAGGUUACCCCCAGAGAAUCGGAAAGCAGUAUAGUGAUAUUCAAAUGAUUCUGGUGAAUGACUAUGAAUGCAAAAGAUUCCAGUCAAUGACGUACCACAGGUAUUGUUAUAGAUCAAAUGCAUUCAAGGUUAAUAGACUAACGACUCAAGCCCAUCUAGUAACCCAUGAUCAUUUCUUUCAAUAGAUUAAAAAUGUUUGUUUAAAUAUCUUUCAAUGAAGGCCUCCAUCAGGACUUAAAAUCAUAACAAUUCCGGAAAGUCAAGAGACUAUUAACCAGACCUAAAAGAUCUUUCACUCAAAUAAAAGGAAAAGAUAGACAGCCUUCUGAAUUCAGUAAUCAUUGACACAAUAAUGAAACACCACACAACACACAGCAAAAACAACAUUAAGAAGAAAAAUUCAGUAAAGCCUAAUAACAUAAGAUGCAGACAGUUUUUUCCACAAACCUGCUGUUAUUUCUCCUUCAGGGCCUGCAGUCUUUAAAGCAGAAGCUUCAUUUGCUUCUUUCUCUGCUUGACUGGAUUUAUCCUUCAUUGCUUUUAAACUUCCACCAGUUUGCUGACCACCUGUUUGAGGACUGGUUGCCUGAAGGAGAAUAUAUGGAAAAACGUAAAGUAGAGAUUUAAAUGUGUUUCUUAAGGAGAAAUUAAAAGGAACUAGUGCCUCCUCAGUAUGUCCCAUCCUCCUCAUGUCAUACUCCAAUUACAUCAGGAAAAGGACAUCGUACCCUAUUCAGUAUUGCUUGUUCUGCCUCAUUUGCUUUCUUCGAAGAUCGCGUCUUCACCUCCUCCUCUCGCCGCUGUCUUUCCAUCCUAAAAAAAUAAAUAGAUUACGCAAUAAGCAUGGUGCACAGGACUUUCAGGAAAGAACUUAGAGAAGAAAUAAAUAGUAAUGCUAAGCAACCAUUAGUCCCAAAGGCUUAAACUAAUAGAAGAGGCCCAAACAACUGAGUUUAAACUAAAAAACACUGGUUUCAUGCAUAGAGAAUUUGAUAUCAUCUGGAACCAAACCCACACAAACACAAUCGGAUCUAAACACUAGGCCGACUGACAACAAAAGUCAAAUACAAAACUGCUAGCUUUAAGUUGAUAGGAAAAUACCCAACAAUAGUAUUUAAACUAAUAAAUACCAAAUUUUCUAAAUUCGUGGAGUUGCAUUUGCAUGCAUUCAAAACUCAGCUCAUGCAAAAUUGGGGAGAGAGAAGAAAUAAACUCUAUGGCAUUAAUUUCAGAAAAGUUCGUAGUGUGAGCAUUUUCUAAGCAUGAUGUUCCAGAAAUCAAUAUUGACAAGCCAUCCCACAACAAGAACUCAGAUCCAGAUAUCCGGAAGACAAUGUUGCACAUAUCUCAAAUAUAUCAAAGAAGUUCAAUCAUAUCACAGCUUGACAUAACUACGUAAAAUAAACCACAAUCAUAUCACAGCUUGACAUAACUACGUAAAAUAAACCAGCCAAACAUUUUGAGAAUACCUCCUCUGCACCAAACGAAUGAAAUGUUGGGGAGGGACAAAAGCUCUCUCCAUGUCAACUAGUGCAACCACCAUCUUUCUUGCUUCAUUCUUAAACCCAUCUAAAGCAGCACUUGCAAUGCCCACAACCUUGUAAAAGUUUCAAACCAUUCAACUAUUGUCACACGGAAAAGGAAAUUUGAACCACAUAUAGGUCUAAUCAUGUACAAAUGCAGAAAAACUAUUGUGACACAUAAUCAAAAGCGGCCAUACCUCUCUCUUAAAAGGAGGAUAUCUUCCCAGGCCUGGUGUAGCAUUUGCAGAAGCAGAAACUAUAUCAACCAGAACACGGUGUACCUGUUUUACCAGUCAGCCAGGAACUAUAUCAGUCAGCAGAAACAAUAAUUGCUUGAGAUUUUCACUGCCAUCCAUACAGAAAAUUGGGUAAAAGACAUCAAAUGACCUGAUGUACCUAUUCUAGAAAAACAAAUUUUAAGAAUAUCUGACCUCUCAAGUCAAAUAAAAGUUGACAAAUCCUUCUUAUUGAACCUGAAGUCCUUGUCAUUAGUUAAGCAUUUUCUUGCGGAACAAAAAGAACAUAAAAUGUAGUGCCUCAGAAAAAUAUUAAAAGGUGUAUCAUUUGGAUGUCCAUAUCAUGCAUCCAACAGAGAGCAUACUAUUGACUAACAAUACUAUGAAGGAACCAUAUGUUAAGGCCAAAUCAAAAAAUUUAACAUUCAACAUCAUAAAAAGAGAAAAAGGGUAAAAUCUUUAUAUACAUGGCUCCAUUACCUCAUCAACACAAAGACGAGAGGGUUCUUUUGCAAGCUCCAGGACACCUUUGAUCAAAGAUCUCAAACCCUUUUCAGGGGAUAUUAGAUAUGGUUGAUAGCCAUCCGCUUCUAACACAAUCUGAUAAGAAAUGAAUAUGAGAAGAUCAAUGCAAAUGCAAAAUCUAAAAAAUUAUGAGAUAUACAACAGGAACACAAUAGAUAUAAGCAAUAGAGCACCAACAUACCCUCUUGACAUUAUUAAUAUCAAAAUGUCUGUCCAAAGGAAGCUGUUUGAUCCUGUUCGGGAAAUUCCCCUCAAAACUGGCAACAAUUUUCCAACCAGAACCCUGCAUUGAUAUAAUGUUAUGAGAACUAAUAUCUCAAAAAAUCAGUAUCCUAUACUUUUCAGUUAGUGACGGAGGAAAAUACCGUAGGCCACUCAAAAAAGCACGACCAGAAUCACUAGCCAAUAAAAACAGAGAGCAGGACACUAAACAAAGUUUGGAUACAUUAACUAUUUUAAUUAGAAGAAGUACUGAUACUUAGAGAUUUAUCAAUUAGACAUGGCCCGAAACUUAUAAGUAAGAAAAAGGGAAAAAUAAUAAAAGACCAAAGGAACAGAACAAGCAUGAAUUACCAAUUAGAUCCAUUUUUAGUUAACCAAAUUUGGAUCAUAAAAAGGGCCUUCCUCAUACUACCAUAUGAACUUCCAACACUUGGAAUCCAACCCCUACAUUUCCAUGACCAGACACACUCGUCAACCAAAAAAGCUUCAGAGAGCAAAAACAACUUUAGAGGAGCUACCUGGAACUAAUAAGGUUACAAUGACAGCAAAGCAGACAUCAACCCCUCCUCAGCUGACUUAGUAAAAACAAGCACUACCUCUAAGCACUUGAAUAGGUUUGAAAAAAUCAUUUCUCCUACAAAAGACCCCUAGUCUCUGCCAGCUUCACACAUUCCAUUAGGUAGAAGCAGUAUCCACAUUAUACAUUAAGAAGCUUCUCAUUAGAGGUCCAAGGACCAGGUAAACUUCUACAAUGAGAGGGAUUACAAAUUGAUAAAAGUAAUGGAGCUCACUUCCAUCUAAUUUUAUGGAAGGCUUUCAAUUCCAGAGGUGAUAGUAUCACAAUCCCAUCUCUUACAAUAUUUCCUCCAAAUCUCUAUAUAGAGCUUUUUCUUGUACACAAUAAUUUACACUAUUAUUGAAAAACAAAUUGAGAAAUCAAAACAAUAUAAGCAAACCAAGAAAGAAGACAUGUGCUACAUGAAAGUCACCAAGCACAAAAACAAAAAUAACUCACCUCACCAGUUGUAAUGUGUUGCAGAAACUUAUCCUCAAAUUCACGACAAAGCUCCAAAGCCAAAGAUCUUGUGCCCUCAGCACUCUGGACCAUCUGCUCACCAAGCCGCACUAACUCAUCCUGAACUAUUUGAGACUUUCCUUGUAAUCUGCACAGAUAUACGUAAUAAAGGAGUUACCAUAACUGGAAGAAGUACCCAUAUCCUUCAUAAAGGAAAAACUGAAUACAUAUUUACUCAUUAAGCUGGGUCAUGAAAAAGGGUCAAGGAAUAAUUAAUUAUAUGAAUUAAGAUAUCCUUAUUUUCAAUUUUAACUCCCACUGAACGGCGUUUAUUAACUACAAUGCAAAGUGCAAGACAAAGAGUUAUAGAGGUGAUAGAAGUUAAAAAAUAAUAAUAAUAUAUAAUAACAACAAUAAUCAUCGUCUUCUAACCAUCGAAGACAAGUACAAGCAUGAUGAUUAGUAAUGACAUGCCUACCAGGCAGAAGAGAAAUUUUAAUGGUUAAAUGUAUCUCGAACUUCCUAUUGCCAAGUUCUCACAAUCCAUUUGCGACAGUAAAACAAGUUCCAAAGAUCUAAGUGUGUUCAAGAAAAUCAUUUUCAUGCGUCAAAAAAGAAAAAAAAAAGAAAAAAAGAAUACAACUUUCCAAAGAUAAACUAAAACAUGUGUAAAAUUAAAACAUUUCGUGCAGCAUGUGGAAAUCAUUUAAUACCCAGAGAGGACGUUUGGCACCCGGACUUUCAUACGCUUGCGGAUCUGCUGAGCCAAAGCAUCCACCAAUGCUAUUCUGCCUAACUUACUCUGAGGAGCACCAGUCAAUAUAGACUUAAGAGACUCACUUUCUGCCCUCCAAGCAGUUUCUAAGGAGCUCUCAGAUCCAGACUGAGCAGUAGCUAUUGAUACUGAUUGACCAAUUAAUGCAACCCACGAAAUGUCAGCUGUUUUUGGUGGACCUUGAUUUAACAGGAGAGCCUGCACAGCAGCAAGAGCUUUUUGGUCUGCAGAAGCUUGAUCUAUUUUACUUAUUACACCAACAGUUCUGGUUCCUGACGUUAACAAAAUAAGCUCCCAAAUUAGCGAGAUAAAGAAUUAACAAGGAAACAGUCAUGAUAGCAAUAGGAAGGAGAAGGUAGAGUUACAUUCCUCCAACUUCAAAGGAUGCACCAAAAAAUGUACUAGUGUGCCAAAGAUUAUGAAAAUCAUAAAUAGCACAUCUUUUGAUUUACAAAUCAAAAACUUUGACAGUAAAAUUAGAGGUAUAAAAAUGUUAAGCAUAUUACCAUCUCCGUCAAAUUCCUUGGCAACUCUAAGAGCUCGAGAUGAAGCAAUUUCAGGCGCUUGGGCAGCAGGAAUAAUCACUAGUAAAAUUGCAUCAUUGUGCUCGGCAUAUUCACUAACCUAUGAGGGACAUCACAAAAUUAUUGUUACUAACUUAUAAGUUACCAACCAUAAUUCACAAGCAAAGAACAGACCACAUCUUUCCAUCAUUGAAAACACAAGCAAAUAACAUCUAUCAAAUAAAUAUAUAAUGGGACACAUCAAUAUUUAGAGCAUCAAGGUCUAAAAAAAUUAAACAAACCCUCACCAACGAAUCGUCCAUUAUUCGUUGAUCCAAUCCAGGCAAGUCAAUUAAUUUCAAUGGUGGCGCUGCAAAAUCAAGACCCCCAAAAAAAAAAAACCAUUAGAUAAGGCACCAAAAAAGUUAAUAAACCAUUUGCAAAACACCGUGCCAUUAAACGAAUCAAGCAACUGUAAUCCACAGCACAUACAAGGAGCUCAGUCCCUGUAGUGAUUAAAAUUCAGCAUGAUUAUAACAGCAGAUUACAAAAGCUUUAUAUAGCUGCAUGCAAUAUGGCAAUUUUGAAGAGAACCGAACCAACAUGAUUUCAGACUGCCAAAUUUCAAAGUAUAAAUUGUACCUUGACAACAGAGCCAGUUCAUCCCAAUUCCAAAGUCAUUCUAUAAAAUACUCAAACCACAGAUAUUCUACAAGAUGAUAUGCUUCAUGGAGCUAACCUACAAGAGCCCCCAAAAUUGGAGCUUUUUUUUUAAAAAAAACGAUAAGAUGGAAAUUAUGCUCAUAAAAUAUCUCUCAUGCUAAAAGUUAUAAUUCAAGGAUUAUCAACUGCACUUGGACAUUAUUCUGAAUUUCUAAGGCAUGCUAACAAUAUGCAACUUUUUCCUUUUUCCUCUCAGCUCGAUCUCACGAAUGAUUAAAGAACUACUAUAUAGAGGGCAGUACUCUCGUGGGGGAAGCACUGACUAGAAUAAUAAAUUAAGCAAAUAUUUGGCGGCCAAACCUGUCAAUUCCAAUUCAAUGAUGGUUACUUGAAUUUCUUAUCAGCAUUGCAUUCUGUAAAUGAUUGAAUAAAUAAGAUGCUAGCUAAGAACUUAUUUAAAACCUCAAACCACACCAAUGUUCAUGUUGUCACGUGGUUAUUUUACCCGUGUAGAAAAGAAAGAACCCUUGAUAUGAUAGAUGACUCACAAGGUGGAAGCUCCUCCUCCCUCAUAAUUCAAAGUUUCUACUCAUUAAAAAUCUUAAGCAAUACAGAAUCCUGUUCUUAAAGGUUUCAAACAAAAUUUCAAGACAUGAUUAAGAGACAAGUUUCAAUGAGACAAGUUUCAAUUUAAAAAGCAUGAAAUAUCAUCCAUCAUGAGCGCCCGAUCCAACAUCCACAUUCCCAACCUAUUGCUUAGCCUUCCCAUAUUACCUUUUUGAUGGCUAACAAGCUGAAGAUUAGAACAAGAGAAUUCAGUGUAAGAAAAGAAGAAGGGUUCAAACACAUGAAGAAUGUCUUUACUCAACAAAGGACAACGGCUUAGGGCAUAGCAAUAUAAACCCCACCUCUUCUUCCAGCAGGUAUUCUACUUCCUAUUUUAGCACAUAUAGACAAAGAACACUGACAGCUCGCAACGACCUGCAUUAUGGUCCAAGACAUUCUCUAAAGUUCAAACAGAACCUUAGCUAUAGAAUCAUCAAUAUUAGCUGCCCUUCAUAUAGCACUUAUCAAAGUUCCUAAUCAAUUUUUGAACCAUAUAAAAAGUCAAGCCUCUGGCUCAAGAUAACAUAAGAGGAAAAUCCAAGUCUGCAGAAGUUUGAGGUCACUAGGAUCAUCUUAGGGUCAAGCAACCUUGAUUGCCAGUGCAGGUUCCCAGGUGGCCUGGUCUGCUAGGAACAACAGUGCAAAGGAUGGCCAAAAGGAAGCGGCAUUUCACAAUCUUCGACAGUCUAUUUCCAUUUAAUAUGAUUAUUAUCUAUUAAAAAUUAAUAAAAAUAUGUUCUCUAAGGUUCAAAUAGAACUUUAGCUAUAGAAUCAUCAAUAUUAGCUGACCUAAUCAUCACCAUCAAUAUAGCACAUAUUGAAGUCCCUAAUCAAUUCUUCAACCAUGUAAAAAUCAAGUCUGCAGAAGUUUGAGGUCACUAGAAUCAUCUUAGGGUAAAGCAGCCUUGAUUGCCCGUGCAGGUUCUCAUGUGGCCUGGUCUGCUAGAAACAACAGUGCGAAGGAUGGCCAAGAAGGAAGCAGUAUUUCACACAGUCUACUCCAUCAGAUGAUAUUAUUAAAAUUAGUAAAAUCUGCCUCUCAACUAUCAAUUUGAAUAGAAUUGACCCAGUACUCAGCCAAAAUCAAAUGUAUUUCUAAUGAAUUAUCACACAUCAAAAACGAGGUAUCAUCUAAUCUCCAGAAUUGCAGAUCAUUUGCAAAUGAACGAUCACACAUCAAAAACAAGGUAAUAUCUAAUCUCCAAAAAUGGAGGUCAUUUGCAAUUAGAUUCUCAUCAUUGAUGUAAUUGUUUCAAAGUUUUGAUGGUUUUUGGUCUUCUACACUAUAGGGAAGAUUUUAGUUUGCCGACAUCUGGUUCACUUCCGUAAUCCCUAUUCACUUCUAUUUCUAUAAAUUUCACCCUGACGCGAUCUGAUAUUUUUUGUCGUAAAACAACCUCUCAAAUUAUUAAAAUGUAAAAAUGAAAAACCCUUGUUCAAGGCCUAUGACAAAUUAACUGUCAAUAAAACUUAAAAUUAAAUUGAUCUAUUCGCAAGAUUUCUAGUGCUUUCAUCAUCGUGGUCUCCCACUCAACACACUUGCCGAGAGGAUCAAGGGUACCUGGUCAUUCUAUUCUGUGGGUGUUUUAAUUUUAAAAUUUCUCUUAGCACCAACAUAUUGUAAUCAUAUUAGCAAUUAACAAUUAGCAAUUACAGUAACUUAUCUUUUAUGAUCAUCUAUUUUUUAAUAUAAUGCAGCACAAAAAACUAUUCGGCCAAAUUAAUUUUGGAAACAUAAUCAAACAACUAUAAUGCAGAUAGUAGCAUAAGAUUAGAGAGAGAGAGAGAAAGAGAGAAGGCUGUAAAAUAGUGUAAAUAGUAAAUGACUCACCUGUACUUGUCCGUAGCUUCAGAUAUAUUUCAUCUCGACUCUUGCCAGAGGCACCCUUGCUAAGCCUAUCUUGUAAAGAAUGCCGUAAGGCACCUGCAAAACAAUGAUAAUAUAGAAUGUGAAAAUGACUGAAUGAAACCUACACAAAAAUAUCUGCUACUACUCCUAACUUCACCACAGACCCCUCCAUCAAAUUCGUUUUCCUUAGAGAUCAACUGCAAUUAAAAUUCUGGCCAUAUGCAUAUAAAGUUUAGCUUCAAUUAUAAAAUCAAUCAAGAAAAUCCAAAAGGUUGUAUUGGCUAGUUAAAAAUUUUCAGGUAGCAGUCAUAAGAAAUGCCGACAUCAUAAGACUAACACCGCAGUAGAGACAAGUUGCAACUUGAAACCCAGUGGCUCAGAAAGCAAAUCAGAACAGUGUGAAUUUUCAAAGGAGGUGUCUGAUAUUCCUAGCGUCAAGUAACCAAAAAUCAAAUUGGAAAAAAAUAAAUCAAUAAAUAAGAACCAUAGUAAAAAAGAUACAUCAUGUGCUGUUACUAUAAUAAAGAUGUAUCGUGCGCUGUUACUAACUUGCAGAAACUUGUUGAGACUUGUUGUCAAUUUGCAAAAUAAUUGAUUUGCUGCUCAGAGCACCAUCCUUAUGCAAAUCAAUGCUUAUCGGAGCACGUGUAGCACCAUUUUCACCAGUGGGCUGCAUAGAAACAAAAAUAAAAACUCAAAUCAAAAGUAAAACUCAAAAAACUAGCUUAAAACCCCUCAAGAAAUCGAACUUACCAGAACCGGAUGGCCAAUUAAACUGUUCAAAACAGCAGAUUUCCCAGCUCCCUAACAAAUUUGUGCAAAAACAAAGAAGAAAAAAAUACCCAGAGUCACCAAUUACUGAAAGCAUCACCAGUCCAAAGCAAAAUUUUAGUGAAUAUAAAACACUCAACUAAUCAGCAGUUACCGAACCAAACCGCAGCAACUAAAAGUAAUUUCUCAUGACUUACAAUCAAAUCAACUUAAGUAAAACGAUUAGAUUCACUUGAUCGCAUCAGAUAUUUACAGUUCCAGCAGAGAUCCAAUCAAAAAUCCUUAUUAUUACUCAAUCAAACAACUCAUAAACCCUUAGAAAAAUGAACUUACAACAUUGCCGAGAGCGACGACGUUUAGAAAAGUUGAACUCCUUCUAGAACUCGAACUAGAGUUUUCAUCAACAUCUUCGUCGGCAAGUAAAGCCGCAGCUUGCCUCAUCGAAUCCGACAACUGACUCAGUUCCUCGAUCGCCUCCAUUGAUUAAGUUACUGAAGCUUCCAAAUCUGAUAGUUCAAAGUCAGUAAAGGAGAUCGAUCGAUUCGAAUUCGACUGAAUCGAAUCAAAUCGAACCGAAUCGAAUCAGAAACCCUAGAUCUGGUGAUUUUGGGGAAGAUUUGUGAAAGUUUUGAAAAGGGCGAGAAAGAGAGAGGAAAAGGAACAGAAAAGAAAUGAAAUGAAAUGAAAUGAAGAGAAGAGACAAGACGACGACGUACAAGGCGAAGAAAUGAAGAAGAAUCCUCUCUCUUUCUUUUCUCUCUCUAGUGUUUUGAAAUUGAAUUGAAUUUUCUACUCUCUCUUGCUGCUGUUUUUGAAUCUUGUGCUAACGCGAUUGUUUUUUUUUUUUUUUAAUUUCUUUUUUUUUUCAAAUUUUCAGUUUCCUUAAUGGGUGGCCCGGUGGAGCUUGUGACUUGUGAGGACGGUUGGAGACUAUUCUAGUGUUUGUUGCUGCUGUGGGUUAUUUACAGUGAAGUCCCUCUUAAUUUCAUUUUACUACAAACUUUUAGAAGUUUCUCAUUGUUUUACCUUUGAUCAAAUUGAUAGUUUAUUUAAUUGAAUUUAAAAUGAGUAUUAUCCUCUACAAUUCAAAUAAAAAAAUUGGAAACAAAAUUAUAAACAAGUUUUUUUUUCUCCCAUCUAAAAGCUAAUUAGACUUUUAUGAUCAAUAAACACAAAAAGAAGAUUUAGCAAUCCAAAUUAUUCAAUCAUAAUUAUAUUUUUGUUAAUAAUAGUACGAAUUAGAUUUUCCCCAUCAAAAUCAUUAUUUUUAAGUUUCAAUGUUUGUUUAUGGGUUACUUAAAUAUACUAUUAUAGUUUAUAGGAGACUAAGAACUUGUUUGAUAAAUGUUUAAAAUGUGAAAUUUUAUUAGUUUAUAUUAUUUUUUAAUUUUGAUUGUAUGCUUUUGUAAGUUAUGUCUAAUUUUCAAACAUUUACAUAUAAAUAAAAAUAAAAUUUUGUUACUUUUAUAUGAAUGAAAAAAUGUUUGAAUGGAAAUAAAUAUUGACCUCGCUUAGAAUUGGGGUUAAAAAUCAAUAAACUGUUUAUUUCAUAAUUUUCAACAAAAAUAACAUUUAGUAGUAAAAUCUGCUUAUUUUAUAAUUUUUUCAUUUUGACAGCAGUUUUUAAAAAUAAAUAAAGAAUUUUUUUUCAUAAGUAGUUUAUUAAAUAAGUGACCAUCCCUUUUAAAGUUCCUAUUUUAACUUUAAUAUUUUAAUUAUGUCCUAUUUUUCUACACACCCUAACAUAUAAGCCACUAGAUAUUAUAUUAUCAUUACAAUUAAAUUACCCCCACAAUUACUUUAUGUUCUCUCCAAUAUUAAAUAUUUGAUCCAGUAGGUUCAUUUUUUUUUAUAUUUUACUUUUAUUUUCUAUUAUAAUUUUAAAUAAGACUUAUAUAUAAUUCCAUAAAUGUUCUUUGAACUAUAAAUAAUUUUACAUGAUAGUUAACCGUAACAUUUAAAAUCAAUUUCAUAACCAUGGCUUUUAACUUUCAACAUAUUUGUAUUUUUUCUAUAGUCAUGGUGUUUAUUAUAAUAAGUUUAAUGUGAAUGUAACGCAUAUUAUUUUUUUUAUUUCAUUUGGAUUAUGUAUUAAUAUGAACUUUUAUCAUAUUUUAUGUACCAGAAUAUAAAGUUCAUUAGGUUUUAUUUAAUUAAUUUUGUUCACUUUAUAUAAUUUUGUGUAUUUUAAAAGAAAAAGGCAUGUCUAAACAUUAUUAACAUACACAAAAAAUAAAAGAUAAUUUAAAUUUAUGCAUGUUUUGGUCAUUAUAUAAUAAAAUAUAUUUUUAUAAUAAAAUUUACUAAACACAUAUAUAUUGCUUUUCAAACUCAUAAUAAACUCAACAACAUCAUUUACCAAACACCAAGCUACUUUUUUUUAUCAGCAACUUAUUUCAGCCACACAAAAGAAAUAACUUAUUUAAUCAAUCAUUGCAAUCUCAAACUGACCCAUUAUAUUACAAAUAUAUUUAUAUUUAAAUUCUUUUAUUUAUAAAAAUAAAAAAUGCCACUUAUAUUCCGGCAUUAAAAAAAAGUAUGUAAUUAAGAUAUCGGUAUUCAAACCUAUUUAUUCUUUAGCCAAAUUCAAACUUAUUCAAAUUUAAAAAAAAAAAAACACUACUUAAGAACUAAGCUAUUGAAUGAGUCAUAAAAUUAUUGUAUAACCUACUUAAAAUUAAUAUUAAAGAUGUUAAACAAUACUUUUUUUUCAAUACUAAUAUACUUAUAGAUUUAAGAUAAAAAUUUUGUAGUCCAACUAAUAUAGCUCUAGUAAAUUCAACAAUAAGAUGACAAAUGAUAAUCCCAAUCAUUAAAGUUCAAAACUCAAAACUCCUAUCAACUCAAGAAAUUUUACGAAGUCGAUUGGCAAUACUUGUGCUUUCAAGAUUUAAGGGCACAUGAUUGAGUCACAACAAUAGUUGGGACUCAUAUUCUUCUCCUAAUUUUAAUUGGAUAGAAGUAAAUAUAUCUUUCACUAGUAUGAGUAAAGUAAAUAACUCUCCCGCUAUUCCACUAAUGUGAGGACAGAAAUUUAGACUAUGUCAUAAUAGACUUAGAUAUAAGAUAGCCUUUUGAGACCUUUGACCGAGUGGUUAGAUAUGUGAGAGUAGUAGUUCGAGUCUCCAUAAAAUAUUGUGGGGGGUUUAAUUCAUUUUUUAAUUAUUUCAUAAUUGAGUGGAAACAACAUUCUAUCUUAUGAAAUAUGAGUCGAUAAAAAAAACUCAAAAAAGUGUACCAGUUAAGCUAUUUGGCAUCUACUAUAUAAUUUUGCACAUAAUGUGCUAAAAUUGUGUAUAGAAGGAUCACUUUAGUUCCUAUCUCAGCAUAAUACAGUAAGGACCUGAUUGAUUAAUUCAAGAAAACUUUCGGUUUUAUAGGUUUAAGAAAACCAGCAGAACUUGGAUGUCAAUAACCCUUUUUUAAUUAAUUUUAUUUUUCAAUUCAAUAAACGUUUUAGAUGGCCGUCGAGACAAUCAACGGUAGAAAAUGAAUUUAAGGCGAGUUCAGUUGCCGCAUUUGAUUUAACUUUCGGUGAGAAUCCAGGUGUUGAUUUGAAUUAGUCUUGGCCACGUCAUCAAAAUUCAAAUGCGUAAUAACUCAAUACAACGCGCACUAUGUAAUGUUCCACGCCACGUCACCUAAAAGGCUAAAACUCAUCUUUGCAAUCUUAGAACGGGAACACUUUUCACCACUUUGAAUGGAAGCUUCUUAAAUUAGGAUUUAGCAGUCUGUUUUCUUCAAUAUCCUUAAAUUUAAAUCAAAUCUUGUCUCAAUCUUGAUUCCAAAAAGCCUCCAACUUAAAAAUCUCUCAUAUCAUCUCAAAAAUAAACAAAUAUAUUCAAUUUCGAAAAUAAAAUAAAAUAAAAUAUUUUUUUGUUGUUAUAAAUUGGUAGCAUUAAACUUCUUAUCCAUGAUAUUUAUAGGGUCCGCCUAUGUUGCAAUAGUUGCAACGUACCACACUUUUUGUCUCCAUUCUAGACAGCCAUUGGAUGUAAACUAAAUGAAUCUAAUGGUUGAAAAUAAAAAGGAGUAAAGGUCUAUAGCCGGUUGUAGACAGGUACUGUAUAAAAUUUAUUGACUCUAGUUUUUUUUUUGUUUUUUGAAGAAAUAUCGACUCUAGUUUGAGAGUCGUCCAUCCAAAGAUUUUGUACACCCAUGCAAUUGAGAUCAUCGAAAUCUUUUCCACCCCCAAAAAAUCCGAUGAUUGAAGUGUUUUUCAUCCCCAAAAAUCGCAAUUAGUUUUGGUGUCUCCCAAUAAAAUCAUAAACGACGUAAGUAAAAUUGACAGCCGAUAUAUGACGGUGGCAACUAAUCGGAAAAGAUACUGGGCGAUCGUGUAAGUUUAGGAAUUACAGACAUCGAUUUGCCUCAUAACUUGCCUCAUAAUAGAGUCAAUUUCUCGCGUGCACUGGAUCAAUUAGAUUCUUUUUGCAGAAGUUGUCAUUAAUUAAUUUUCUAUUUAUUGCUUUUUUUAUGUUUAAUACCCGAAAUAUAUCUCCUUUGUUGAACUCUCUUUAGCAAGAAUGGCAUCUGAAACUGUAUUUUUCUUCUUUAUUUUUGUUUUAGUUUUUUCUUCUUUGUGGAAUUUUGUCAAACAGGUAGCAGGCAUGAAAUAUAUCUAAGCUCUUUUCAACUCAAAUGUAAGAUAACACACAAAAAUAUGUUAAUCAUCCAAAUCCUUUCCCCCAGUGCUUUGCAAUUGUGUUCUUACAAUUUUGCUGUCAACGAUGCAAUUAUCAAAUAAAAUCAAUUACACCCAUUGCACAAACAAAUUCGCCAUUUAAUUCAUAUGCCUUACAGACCCACCCCAGGAUGCAACAUACACGAAUCAUGAAGAUCUUCUCCCCCAACAAAUUGCAACAUAUGUAAGGAAAUCGAUUUAGGUGUUUGUAUAUUCUUUCUCAACCACGAGCCGUUAAACCCUAAUUUCUAUUUUCAUAAGAAAUCUGCAUCUAAUUGGAUGAUUUUUUGUGGAACUGGCUUCAACGGUUACUGGUUGAUACUGCCUUUAUCACAUACCUAAUUUGAAGCGUUAGAUUUGUUUAGUUUACAUCCAACGGCUGUCUACAAUGGAGACAAAAAGUGUGGUACGUUACCACAGUAGUAACAUAGGCGGACCCAUAUUUAUAAUCUUUAUGUGUAUAAAUUUAGUCAUUUUUUUGAGAAAAUUUAUUGAAAUAUGAGCAGACUCUCGUUUUCUCUCCUAAAAUUUAAAAAAUGUACAUAUAAACUUUUUGUUAAUAAUCAUCGAAUUCCUCCUCCAAAAUUACAAAGAAUUUGUCAGAAACCUCUAGGUAGCUAAAAAGUCAAUACACCAUUAUACAAAAUCUAUUGUUUCAAAAGAAAUCAAGAAAAAAAUAAAUCAUCUCAUCUUCAAAACACUAAAAUGAAUUUUUUUUAAGUAAAAAAUCAUUGAGAAAAUGUAGAAUAAAUAUAAUCAUAUACAAAUAGUAAUUACGAGCAAUUGAAAGAAUUCCAAAAGAUUCUUUAUUGGCAAAAUGAUUGAACUCAAAGUUGUUUCACUAAAUGCAAAUUUAGUACGACUUGUCUAAUAACCAAAGUUCUUAUUUAAUUUAAAAAACUAUUUACAUAAUAUUUUUUAUAUUGUUUAGUUAUGAGUAAUGAUACAGCCACAAACUCUUGUACAAACUUAUUUUGUAUAAACUGACGUGACAUUAAUUUAUUGGUCGAAUGAAAAUAUAAAAUAAUAAAAAUAAAUCAUGUGGGCCAAUUAAUAUUUAAUUCAACCAAUUUUAUCAUGCCACAUCAGUUUGUACAAAAUAAAUUUGUACAAGAGUUUGUGGCUAUAUCAUUACUCUUUAGUUAUAUAUUGAGUAGAGUGUUGGGAAUUAAAUAAGUUAUCAACUAAAUAAGUUAAAAUUUUAGAAUUUUGAGAGUAGAUAUUGAAAUUUUUUUAUUUGAAAUGUUAAAUUAUCUUAAAUAACUUUCACUUGUUUAGCAAUCUUAUUUUAUUUCUUUAAUUAACUUUAAAAAAAACUUAUCGAUUAAAGUAAUUUUAUAAUUUUUUUAAUACAAUCUCUCAUUGACAACUAAAUAACUAAUUUUUUAAUCAAAUUAAAUAAGCUAUAUUUAAAAAAAUUACACAGAUGAAGCCUUCAUCAUUUCUUUAUAAAUAUUUUAAAACCAUCAAAAUUCUCAUGUUGUUAAAGAAAAUCUAUUAACUUCCACCAUUGAUCAACGUACAGCAAAUCCAACUGCCAAAAAUCCUCAUCUUUUUCAUCUUUUUAUCGUUGCACCCAGUGACAGACCCAAUGAAUGACCAGCGGGGACUAUAAAAAAAUUAUCCACAUUUGGUAUAAACUUUUAUUUUUAUGGUGUAAAAUAUCAUAGUCAAAUUUGUUAAAAGGCCCCGGGCCCCCCCGCUAUUUUUCAUUUUUAAAGAAACUUCCCAUUAUAUAAUAUUUAAUUGCUUUGUUUUAUCAACAUAUUUUCUCAAUGUCCUAUCCCUUUCAGUUUAAUUAAGCCCCCACGACCUUCUUUUUUUAAACCCCCCCCCCCCCCCCCCAACAAAAAAAAAUUAUGCAUCCAGAAGCAACCACUGUUUCUAGUCGGGGAGGGAGUUCCCCGCUCCAGCCAACGUCCUUUUCCUUUCAUUCAUAUUUUUAGUUUUUUUUCGCUAGAUUUUCAUUUCAACUCCUCGAGGUUUUUUAUUCUGAUGAAGUGAUGAGUGAUGAUUCUCUUAAUGGGACUGCUUUCAGGUUCGGCUCUAAGGGAUUCAGAGCUUCAGCCAAUUUUUUUUUUUUAAAGGCCUUGCUACACUCAACAUCAACUCUAUAAAGAAUAUAACAUACCUCAAAAUUUAUUUUACUUUUUUACAUUAUACAAGCCAUAUGUCAAUAUUAAAAAAAUAAUUUGUUAAAAAUAAGAUCAAUAAUAAUUUAAAUAUUAACAUUAGAAUGUUAGCAUCUAGAAAGUUAACUAAUUGAGAUCAAUACGAUGAUCAAAUUAUGGCAAUAAAUUUCAUAUAAAAGAAUUUUUUUUUAUAAAGAAGAGAGUAAGAAAAUUUUUAAAUGAGAUUAUUAUUGAUUCAAUGUUAAUUCUAACGUUUAUUAUAAUAUUAUGGUUCUAAAUUUUAGAUUCCAUAGUAAUGUGGCAGGUAGCUGAGGUACACUGAUAACUGGAUGCACCAAUUUUAGAGGAAGUUGAUUGGCAUUGGAGUUCUAAUCUACGUGGCACACUAUGACUAAAUAACUGCACAUAAAUUAUUUAAGCUUUAUGACAUAAUUGGAAUUGCCCAUGGUGAUUAAAUAACUACCUAUAGCACUCAAUGGUUGGAUAAUUGACCACGAUAUUAUGUAAUUAAUGUGGUAGUUAUUUAGGUACUUAAAUAAUUAUGGAGUUAUUUCAAAGAGAGGCCAAAAGGCAGGCCAAAGGGGUAGCCAAAGAAGGUAGUCAAAGGGGCAAGCCAAAGGGGCUGUUAGAAGAUAACCAAAGGGGCAGUCAGGAGGUAGGACAAGGUACAAUUUGGAGACAAGGAGGCAGGCAAAGGUGCAACCGCAGGCUAAAGUGGUUGCGGUAUGGGAAACACUUGAGAGAACUGGGUGAAUAGUGUUCGGACAGAGGAGGAAAUUGUAAGCUGGGUAACCUUUGAGAUUCAGUGUAUUUUCAUUGUAAAAUCCUUAGUGAUUAAUAAACUCGACAAGAGUGUAUAUGUCUUCGUGGAUGUAAGCCUAACGAAGCCGAACCACAUAGAUCUCUUUUGUUAUUUUCUCUACUAUUUUUUUAUUAUUUACUGUUAUGUGAGACUUUUCUUAGUGUUUCUUUGUUUGUUCCGUAAUUGAAUUGAUUUUUGUGACAGAGAACAGUCAGGCUGCUUAGAGCUAUUUUAACUAAUUAAUUUGGCUUAGAUCCUACCAUUUAUAAUUUUGAUACAUUCAUUUUUGGAAAGCAUUUAAUUUGUUUCCUUCAAAAGAUUAAUAAAAAAUAAUUAACUGUUAAAAUCGUUAAUUAUAUCAUAAAGUUUUAAAAUAUGAAAUUUCUAAAAAUAAAUCUUACUUUCAAGGUGAAUAUUAUUAAAUAUUAAAUCUUAUUUAUGAGAUGAAGAUUAUCAAAUAUAGAAUUUGCACAAAAAAAAAUCUUAAUUUUUGAAUAAUAUGCACCGGAAAAAUAAUAGGAAAUGUCUAAUAAUUAGAAUUUUUUUUGUUUCAUAGUAUGCUUUCCUACAUACAUAAUGUAACACCCGGCUCCCCAGGGUCAUUGGGAGCUGAGAUAUACGAAACAAUCCAUUUGGUCAUCCUCAAACCUAAAAAACAAUAGAAAUAAAAACCAUAAUCUGAGCUUGACGUCCGACCCAUGACUGAAUUUUAGAAAUUUUGUUAUUAUCAUCUACAUGGAAACUCACUCAUUCAAAGAGCCUAGCACAAUAACAUAUUGAAGCUGCCAACAAAAAAAUUUCAUUUAUAAACUGCAUCUGCAAAAUGUUAAAGAUAAGGGGUGAACUAUCAAUUUGGUAAGUAAAUCCAUGUAUAACAUUGUCCUAUAUCUAUCUACUAUAUAAUAACUAUUUAUUGAAGCAUUUAGAUAUUUAAACAAUAAGCAUUUAAGUCUUUCAGACGUUAAAAUAAUUAAGCAAUUUGAAAUCAUAUAUCAAGUACAAAUUGAUAUGACAUCAUUUUGAACACUUAUAAUAAUGGUUACGAUAUAUAAAUAUAUAGACCAACAAUUACAUAAUAAUUAUUAUAAAGAACCAUAAAAUUGGGAAAUAGUAAUCAUUUUACAAUUUAUUGCAUAAAUACGAUAAAACUUAUAAUGAGUUAAGUCAUAACAUAAUAACUAUUUUCAAUAUAUAAUCACUUAAGAAAAUAUUUAACAAUAAUACCUUUUAUUCAUUCAAUUGCUAGUCAAAAGUCACUUGAACAUAUAACCAUUUAUUCAAUAAAUCUUUUCAUUUAAAAAAAUGCUCUUGUCACAUAGUGUUACUUAUACUCCCAAUAAUCUGGUCAGUUAAUAUCUCACUUGUAAUUCCAAUGAACCAGCCAAUAAUUCAAUCAAGUACUAUACCCUGCAAUAAUCAACAAUAGCUGCACAGAAUACGACUAGUUGUUUAGUUAUAUAUGUAACGAUAACUACGUAUAAAGAGUCAAAAUCUUAAAUACAUUUUUUUGCUUUUUAGUAUCAAUCAUUCAAUAAUCUAUCAAUAAAACGUUUUUUUAAGACAUUCAAUUGGCAGAGCUUUACAAAUAUUUUUAAGGAAAACAAUUUAUGGAAAGACAAGUACUUCAAAGCCAUUUUUGAAAAUAAAUUUUAAAAAACAUUCUAAAUAAAUUUGUAACCAAAAUGUAACCUAUUAUCGUAAAUUAUAAUGGUGAAAAUUACUUUAAAACCAUAAAAUGCUAAUCCAUAUAAACAUUAUAAUCCUUUCCAUAUAUAUUCACACAUAAUAAACAUUAAGCAUAAAUUAACCUAUCUCGAUCGUUAAAAAACUAUCAAUACCUCAAUCACAUCAUGAGCUUACCACGCCUUAUAAUCAUCAAAUUGACAUUCAUAUCAAACUCCUAAACUUAGUAAUGCUUCUCAAUGCCUCAACCUUCUUACCUAUGAAAAUACCAAACCAACUAAAUAAUUAAAAUUCUAUUCACCCUAUACGUUUUGAAAUUAAUCCAAUAAUAUGACACUCCAAGAUUUCUAAGACCUUGCAAAGAUUCUAUUCAUACAUGAGGGAUUUCAUAUGAAAAUAACUCAGAAUUGAAAGAGUUAUAAAUUUAUUAAAAAAUCACUUUAUUUUAAGAUAAAACAAAACUGUCUUUUCACUGUUUAAUACUGCAUAACAACAAUUUGAAAUUCCAUAACUAUUUAUAUACAAAUCUAGAAAACAUGUCAUUUUAAAUAAUGUCAACAAAUAUAAUAGACAUUCAGAGAUAAAAAUAUGAGAUUUAUUUCACAACAAAAAAAUACUUCAAACGAAUUUCUCAUAUCAAGAACUUAUUCAGAAAAUUUCUCAGCUGAGGUCGCCUAACUCAAAAAUUCAUAACUUUAGUUAUGAAAAAUGAAAAAUAGUGAAACAAGCUUGGUAUAACAUUAGAGACACAUAAUAACGUCCAUUAAAAAUUUCAUGACUGCUUCUAAUUCCAAACAUAAUAAAGACUGAUCUGUAAUGUGAUACUUGAAUUUUUGGAAAACAGUUUUUAGGAUUGCAUAGGGCUAAUUUUAAAAUUUGUAACAUUUAUUAUACAAGCCCAAAAAUCAAAAAAUUAAAUAUGCGCAUAUUAGACAUUUAAAGGAAUCUUAAUAAAAAUUUCACUUGAUUUUAAAUAUAUAACCAUGCUGAAAUUAUAUCAUAUUUCAGACCCAUCAAUUUUGGAACAUAAUUUCAGAAAUUGUAGUAGCCCUACUUAAUGAAUUUUCAUAAUUAUUCUACAUCAUAAUACAUUUUAAAAUUAAACAUGUAACAAAUAAACAUGUUUAUUAAUGCGUAAUAAAGUUUCAAAAAUCUUAAAUGAGACUUUAAUAGUAAGAAAUCAUCCAAAUUGGAACUACUGCAGAAAAACAUAAUUUUCCAGGAACGGUGUACCAAAUUGGAAAAUUCAUAGUAAAUUCCUCAAUACUUAGAAUUAGAAUUUUGAAUCAUAUGAUAGGUCAAUAGAAAGCUAGAGAUGUCUAUUAUUAAUAAAACAUAAAAUUUUCACUCAUAAAUAUUAUUAAGGGCAUGCGAUUCUCUAUCUAAAUCCACUCAUCAAUUAACAACCUCAAUCAUCUUUAAUCCAUUCUUAAUUAACAAAAACCGCUAUCCAUGAUAAUAAAAAACAGUAAAACACCAUCCAUGACAUCAAAAGGCACUAAAACUUGUAAAACAUGAGCCAAGAGUGUAUGAUACUCCCACACACUCAAAAGGACAUGAUCGAUUGCCUCCUCUUCCCCCACAAGUCCUUCUUCUUCUAUCCAUCUUUUUCUUUCAGAAACCCUUUUGCUCUUAUCCCUCUUUAAGCCUUUGUUUCGUUUCCUUUUAUUGCCUUAAAUGGUGAGAAACCAAAAGAACGGUGGAUUUGAAAUUUGUUGAUAUAUAUCAACUAUUAUUUACCUAACUUUGCUUUUUAUCCCCCCCCUUUUUUUUUUAUUUACUUAGAGAUAUAAUCACGACUUGGCAGGCGGAAACCAAAUCAAAUUAUAAUCCUGUUAUCUCUCUUUAAUGCUUCUCUCAAAGGCAAGUAUGCACAUAUCAAUAUCAUAUCAAGUCAAAUCUGGUCACUCAUCUUCUUACCGAUUCCAUUCAUUAAUCUCUAAUUAUAAUAAAGAGUAUAUAUAUAAAGGCCCAAUUAAAUUUGGCACGUUACAUGCAAUUUAAGAAAAACAUGCUUUACUAGAAAAACAAUUAUUAAUUUUUUAAAAAUUAGGGCUUUCUUAAAGUUUUGGGUUCUAAAAGGACCUCCUAGUCCACGUAGUGCUAAAGCCAUCCCUACUCGCUUUAGUAUCGAGAGAAUACGCAGGUGUUGGAGGUAGUUAUAUCAACUUUGAUAUAAUUUUGCAUAAAGGUUUCGACAGACCCACGGCAGUGUUCUGUGUGUUGGUUCUCCGAUUAACCUUUGAUUAUUUCUUAAUCUUUUGUUAUAACUCAUGAUCAUCGUAAUUUUUAUUAACGUUAAUUAUUCAAAAGUCAAACCCCCUGAAAAAAUAGAAGAAAACGAAAAAUGUCAAACCCUAAGAUUUUAAAUUUACUUUUCACUGACAUCUUGACAACCAGAUAAUUUAUAAUAUUUUUUUUUCUUUAAAAUAGAAAGAGGAAAAAAAUAAAUAAAAAAAAAGAAAGAAAAAGUCGUCCAUGUAUCGGAUAUAAAGUGAGAAUACGUUUUUGACUUUUGAGGUGCCUAAAGGCUAAAGGAGAGCUCAAUGUUAAAGAACAGUGGGUCGCUUGUAAUUUUCAAUAAGGCAAACAUACCAUUUACUUCCAAGCUAGUUGGAAAGAGAUUACAGUACAUUUAUUGAAGUGGGCGUUGAUGUAAACAGGAUGGGAGCAUGUUUAAGUGACAAUUCUUGAUAUUAACUUUUCUAUUUAUUAUUUUAAAAAAUAAACUCAUUAAAGGUGACUUAGGGUCGGUUUGGUAAUACUAUAAUUUUUAAAAUAAUUAUUGUUAGCUAUAUUUUAAAAAUAACUAGCUGUGAAGUUAAUCAAUUAGAUGUUAGUUAAAUUUAUUUUUAAAAAUAUUGUAAGUUUUAAAAGUAGUCAUAAGUAUUUGAUAAAUUUUACUCUCAAAAUAAUUGUAAAAAUAUAAAUGAAUAAAUUAUACAUAAUGUUGAAUAAAAUUUAUUUAAACAUUUAUAAACACAUAUAUAAAAUAAUGUUUUAUUGUGUACAUAUAAUAAUUGAUAACUAGAUUAUAUAUUUUAUAUUAUUAAUUUUAUUUUUAUACUUUGUUAUCUCAGUAUAAUUAGUAGUAAUAAUAAUAAUAAUAUUUUUAAAAUAAAUGAUUUUAUUUCCUAAUUAAUAAGAUCAUUUUUAGUUUUUAUAAUAUAAAUGCGGAUAUAUAUGAAAUUAUAUUAAUUAUAAAAGUAAUUCUCAAGAUUAUAUUUUUAAAAAUGAUUCAUUUCUUAUUAUUAUUUUUAAAUCUACUGUAGGAUGGUGUAACUUUGUCAGAAUUGAUUCAUAAAAAAUUUAACAAAUACUAAAAUUAGUUUUUAGCUUCUCAAAUCACUUUUAAACCUUCUAAAAGUAAUUACAAAUGGGUCCUUUGUUAUGACUUAAAAAGAUAAUAGCUGUGUAAUAAAAGUUAUAAUAAAAAAAGUUUGCAAGUGUUUGAUAAAAGCUUUUUUAAAUAUUAGUUUUUGUUUUUAAAAAAUGGAUCAAUUAAAAAAAAAAUAUAACAACCCAAUUGUUGAUAAUACCAAACACUUUAACAAUUGGAUUUUAAAAAAAAGUAAUAGGGCCUAAAUAUUAGAGGUAGGUAAAAAUUAGUAGAUUAUUAUUGGUGUUAACAAAGAUAAUAUCGUCCUUCAAAGUUUAUGAUGUAUUACAAUUUUAUAUAAAUUUAGUUGUAAACUCAUUUUUUUUUGGGUGAUGUCAAAGCAAUGUCAUCAUUUCAGUAACGGUAUUUAUGAAAAUGUAAUAAAAUGUGAGGUUUUAUACCGAGUACCGAUGUGUUAAUGACAAUAUAAUAUUGUAAGGUAUUGUACCAAUAUAGUAGAAAGUAUUACUUUUUAAUUCUUUUUGAGCUUAUUUUUUAUUUUAUAAUUCUUAAAAUACUUCUUGGACCUGUUUGUUAUUUUACAAUUCCUGCAAUUUAUUAUCUUUCAAAUUUUCCGAGAAUUAACGGUUAACAAAGUUACCUUAAUAAAAUGGGUGUUAUAUUUAAGGAAAAAUAAAAACAAAAUAACCCCACUUAUUUUUUUUUUUCUCUCUUUAAUAUAUAUGACUUAAUAAAAUCUAUAUGUAUUUGAUCAAAACUCAAGGAUAACAUAUUAUAUAAUAUAUUCCACCAACGACUUAACCAUUUGGUGUGUUCGAGAAUAAUCAUUUGAAAUUUAUCCCUAAGUUGAAUCAUUUGAUGUGUUCGAGAAUAAAUCAUUAAAAUUCAGUUUUACUUUCUUUUCAAUCCAAAAUUAAUUGAAUUACAUUUGUUUUGCUCUUUCUUUUGCAUUUUUUUAAUUCUCAUCUUUAUACAAUAAUUAAUUUGUAUAAACAUAAAGUAUUUAUUUUUUUCUUUCUUUUUCUGUGUAGAUUAUUUUCAUUUUUAGAAGUUCGCAUUUUUAAAUUUUGUAGAGAGAAGGUUUAUUAAUUUUUUUUUGACAUUAAAUAGAAAAAAGAGGCUCUAAGAGGAUUUUAAAGGAGCGCGUUCGGCUCUAUAAAAUAAGCCCGCAUACAAAACAAAAAAAAAAAAAAAAAAACUCCGAAACUCUGUUGCUGUGCCACUCUGUGACCGCCAUAUAAACUCAAUUUCCAGAACCUUCCAAUAAUCCCUACAAAUCCCAGAAAGCUUAAUUCACUCAAACGC
rnacentral:lncRNA from 1 species